CCUCACCUCUUUGUACUCCUGAAUCUGGCUCUGCUCAAACAUGGAGAACACGUUGGAGGAGCCGCUAUCUCCUGCUGCUGCCCUCCUCUUGGCCUUCUUUGGUGACUGGAGGACAAACACACGAGUGACAUCUUCAGAUUUUUGUUUUUUCCUGUCCCAUCAACUAUGUCAUAACCCCUCAGGUUAUGUUGUUACCUGGUAAAGAGGUCUUGACCCCAGGUUGGGAGGCACUGCUCUAGCAGAUGAGAUGUUCAGGUACAAACAUCAGAUGUUUCCACCAGAAGAGUGCAGAAGUGUGGGAGACCUGGUACUCACCAUCUUGAGACGGUAUCAGUGGAGGUUUGGCUGAUCAAGAAGGAAAGAUAGUGUGAAGCCGCGUUAUACGUACAUCCCCGGGGGCUUAUAU